GACGAACGCUGGAGGCGUGCUUAACACAUGCAAGUCGAACGGAAAGGCCCUGCUUUUGGGGGGUGCUCGAGUGGCGAACGGGUGAGUAACACGUGAGUAACCUGCCCUUGACUUUGGGAUAACUUCAGGAAACUGGGGCUAAUACCGGAUAGGAGCUCCUGCUGCAUGGUGGGGGUUGGAAAGUUUCGGCGGUUGGGGAUGGACUCGCGGCUUAUCAGCUUGUUGGUGGGGUAGUGGCUUACCAAGGCUUUGACGGGUAGCCGGCCUGAGAGGGUGACCGGCCACAUUGGGACUGAGAUACGGCCCAGACUCCUACGGGAGGCAGCAGUGGGGAAUAUUGCACAAUGGGCGGAAGCCUGAUGCAGCAACGCCGCGUGCGGGAUGACGGCCUUCGGGUUGUAAACCGCUUUCGCCUGUGACGAAGCGUGAGUGACGGUAAUGGGUAAAGAAGCACCGGCUAACUACGUG
rnacentral:rRNA from 1 species